ACGCACAUGCGCGCGCACGUACGCCGCGCCGCGCCCGGCCUGGCGCGCUCUGCGGCCCACGUGUUGCGGGGCGGUGUGCGCCCGGCGUCCGGCCUCGGGCCCCGGCCCAUUGUGUGCUAGUCCAGCGGCUUCACCUGCAGCCGCCUCCUGCCACCGCCCCGCCCCACCCGUGGCGCGAGGCCGGCCCGACCUCGGGAGUCUCCAGGGGCUCUGUCCGCGCGCCUAGACGGCCGCCCUCCCGGCUGGCCUUGCACCCUGUGCCCGGCCUGCAGUACUUUCUGCUUUCGCCUAGCUGUUCGUCACCCAGAACUGGCGGGAACCCGGAAUGCUGCUCAGCUUGGCCGCACUCCGACACCUCUUCCCAGCCCAGGAGUCGCUGGCUUACACCAAAGGGUCACCUCCUCCAGUGUCCCAGGCCAAAGUCACCUCCAGGUGAGAUCCUGGAAGAUAGGAACCAUGUUGAGAGGGAUCCCUGUGUCAUCUCCCACAGAGCUCUACAUGAGAAGAAGGACGUAAUUUAUCAUUAAUGAAGUAAAAGGAGGGAAGGCUUCAAGGAAGACCUGUGGCCAAGGUUGUCUAAGCACCAGACCAUCCAUGGAUCAUCCCUUCCCUCCUGGUCCAUUCCCCACUUCUACCCCACCAGCACCUGAAGCCCAUCUUUUGGGCCAGACUUUUAGACCAUAGGCCCUUUUCCCUUUCAUUGGUCUUCACCUUCCCCUCAGGAUGCAGAGGAUUGAGGCCAACACUGCAAAGUCCCAUAAAUAUGGUGACGGACUCCAUGGAAAAGUUAGAUAUCUAAUCUCUCCUGAGCUUGUCCUCAUAAGCCUUGAUUCCAAUUUGUUCUCUAACUCCUUUCCCGGAGUGGAUAUCUCAGCCUUUACCAGUUCCCUUGAGCCCUGAGAGGGGGAUAAGGACCUUCCUUGAAGGCCCCACUCAGAUGCUACUUUCGCUGAGAAGCCUUUAGUGUAGUGGUUAACUUAUGGGUUGCAUUUCACAUUGCCUGCAUUUUAAAUCCUGGCCAAGCCACUUACUAGUUGUGUGACCUCAAGCAAGUUGUUUAAUGUGUCACUUCUUUGUCUAUAAAAUAGGAAUAAUAGUCGUUGGAUACCAGUUUUCAGUAUUCAUGCUACUGUUAAGUUGUGAAAUGUUGGUGUUUUGUUGGUAUAAUACUGUUAACUUAUCUAAAAUAAUCUGAAAUAUGAGUCAUUUUUAUGUUGAGAUUAAAAUCAAUGACUUAAAUAUUCAAUUUACGCACAAAGAAACAUUGAUACUCUACAAACUAUACAGAUCCACUCCUGUGUGAAUCAUAAUAAGCAUCUGCAUUGAGCUACUGCAAAGCUUCUGUUACAAGCAUGAGUGUUACUAUAGGUUAAAGACCUUACAAACAGGCCCUGGCCUUGUAGCUCAGUUGGUUAGAGCGUUGUCCUAAUACACCAAGGUUGCAGGUUCCAUCCCCAAUCAGGGCACAUACAAGAAGCAACCAAUAGUCGUAGCCAGUUUGGCUCAGUGGAUAGAGUGUCGGCCUGGGGACUGAAGGGUUUUGGGUUCAAUUCUGGUCAAAGGCACGUACCUACCUUCGUUGCAGCCUCCUCCCAGGCCCUGGUUGGGGUGUGUGCAGGAGGCAACCAAUCGAUGUGUUUCUCUCACAUUGAUGUUUCUGUCUCUCCCUCUCUUUUCCACUCUCUUUAAAAAUCAAUGGAAAAAUAUCCUCACCCGAGGAUAAAACAAAACAAAAUAAGCAACCACUGAAUGCAUAAAUAAAAAUUAAAAAAAAAAGACUUUCCAAACACGUGAAUACGAGUGUGAAAAAAAAAAUUAAAUUGACACGUAAUGUCCAUCUAUACAUGUUGAAACGAAAGGAGUAAAAAAAGUUUUGAAUAUGCUUUUUUCCUAACCAAAACUAUAGCUCACUAGUAUUAAAAACAUGCAGAUUUGGC